CCACUUCAUGAUUAUUCAGAAACUAUUUUGAGGAAAAUUCACAUUCAUCAGAGGAGCCAUUAGAGUCUUCCUCAAGACUGAAAACAGAAGUGAGAGUGCAUCUUGAAGUGCUGCACCAGAGGAUGAGGAAAAGAUUAGUGUGUGAAAUUCUACCUACCCAAUGUGAGUAAGCAUGGAUAUGUGCAACAGUUU
rnacentral:lncRNA from 13 species